rnacentral:rRNA from 1 species
GACGAACGCUGGCGGCGUGCUUAACACAUGCAAGUCGAACGGAAAGGCCCUGCUUUUGUGGGGUGCUCGAGUGGCGAACGGGUGAGUAACACGUGAGUAACCUGCCCUUGACUUUGGGAUAACUUCAGGAAACUGGGGCUAAUACCGGAUAGGAGCUCCUGCUGCAUGGUGGGGGUUGGAAAGUUUCGGCGGUUGGGGAUGGACUCGCGGCUUAUCAGCUUGUUGGUGGGGUAGUGGCUUACCAAGGCUUUGACGGGUAGCCGGCCUGAGAGGGUGACCGGCCACAUUGGGACUGGGAUACGGCCCGGACGCCUACGGGAGGCAGCAGUGGGGAAUAUUGCACAAUGGGCGGAGGCCUGAUGCAGCAACGCCGCGUGCGGGAUGACGGCCUUCGGGUUGUAAACCGCUUUCGCCUGUGACGAAGCGUGAGGGACGGUAAUGGGUAAAGAAGCACCGGCUAACUACGU